CAUUAAGAAGCUAUAAAGCGUUAACCUUUUAAGUUAAAGACUGAGAGUGCCCAAACCUCCCCUUAAUGA
rnacentral:tRNA from 1 species